GGAAUUUUCCGCAAUGGGCGAAAGCCUGACGGAGCAACGCCGCGUGAGGGAUGAAGGCCUCUGGGCUGUAAACCUCUUUUAUCAAGGAAGAAGAUCUGACGGUACUAGAUGAAUAAGCCACGGCUAAUUCCGUGCCAGCAGCCGCGGUAAUACGGGAGUGGCAAGCGUUAUCCGGAAUUAUUGGGCGUAAAGCGUCCGCAGGCGGCCCUUCAAGUCUGCUGUUAAAAAGUGGAGCUUAACUCCAUCAUGGCAGUGGAAACUGUUGGGCUUGAGUGUGGUAGGGGCAGAGGGAAUUCCCGGUGUAGCGGUGAAAUGCGUAGAUAUCGGGAAGAACACCAGUGGCGAAGGCGCUCUGCUGGGCCAUCACUGACGCUCAUGGACGAAAGCCAGGGGAGCGAAAGGGAUUAGAUACCCCUGUAGUC
rnacentral:rRNA from 1 species